ensembl:lncRNA
AUGUUAUCCGUCAAGACGGUCGUGUCGCAAAUUCGGCAUCGCGAUUGGUUCAUCACGAUCGAUCUGAAGGACGCAUAUUUUCAUAUAGAAAUUUUGCCACAACACAGGAAAUUCCUGAGGUUCGCUUUCGGGGGCGAAGCAUACCAGUUUCGGGUUCUUCCUUUCGGCCUAGCCUUAUCACCCCGCACGUACACAAAAUGCAUGGAUGCAGCGCUGGCUCCAUUACGACUCCAGGGCAUUCGCAUUUUGAAUUAUAUCGACGAUUGGCUGAUACUAGCACAAUCGAAGGAUGGCGCUUCAACACAGGGACAUCGUGUUAGCUCAUCUAGUUUCUCUGGGGUUGAGACUCAACACCGAGAAGAGUGUACUCUGUCCGGCCCAGAGAACGACUUAUCUCGGGAUCGUUUGGGAUUCGAUCACGAUGCGGGCACAACUGUCUCCCGCUCGGAUCGAGACCAUUCAGCAGACCAUGAGCAAGGUCAGGCUAGGCCAGGAUCGCACUGUUCGUCAGUAUCAAAAGAUGUUAGGUUUCAUGGCUUCAGCAUCCACGGUGAUUCCUUUGGGGCUGUUACACAUGAGACCGUUUCAAUUGUGGCUAAAAGCAGAGGAUUUCAUCCGAGAGCCAAUCCUCAAAGGCAAAUAAAAGUGACGCGCCGCGGGCUUCGUACACUAUCUCUGUGGAUCAGACCCCGGUUCCUUGCCUUGGGUCCCACUCUAGGGGCACCGUGUCGUCGCAGACUGCUAACGACAGAUGCCUCCCUGUUGGGCUGGGGAGCAGUUUUGGAUGGCCACCCAGCUCAAGGGGAAUGGGGGGGUUGUCAGCUCGAUUGGCACAUCAAUUGCCUCGAGCUGAUGGCCGUAUUUCUGGCUCUGAAAUAUUUCCUCCAUCAUUUGAGAGACUGUCAUGUUCUAGUACGGGUGGACAACACAGCAACAGUCUCAUAUAUAAAUCACCAGGGGGGUCUGCGCUCACGCAAUCUGAACAAGAUAGCGAGGCAGAUUUUUCUUUGGGCCCAGGACAAGCUCCUGUCACUCAGGGCAGUUUACAUUCCGGGGCGUUUGAAUGUGGGAGCGGAUUUACUGUCCAGACAGACACUUCCGACAGGGGAAUGGAAACUCCACCCAGAGGUAGUGGAACAGAUUUGGGAAAAAUUUUACGAAGCAGAGGUGGACCUCUUCGCCUCCCUUCAGACAGCGCAAUGUCCCCUCUACUUCUCUCUGAGUCACCCAGCCCCCCUGGGUCUGGAUGCGAUGGCGCACACAUGGCCCAGAAUGCGCCUGUAUGCAUUUCCUCCAGUUUCUCUGCUCCCGGGAGUCCUAGCCAGAGUUCGCCAACAAGGGUCUUGCCUCUUGCUGAUAGCGCCACGUUGGCCGAACAGGGUAUGGUUCUCGGAGAUAAUAUCUCUCCUCGACGGCUCGCCUUGGGCGAUUCCGGAGAGGAGGGACCUUCUGUCUCAGGCAGGGGGUACGAUAUUCCAUCCCAGGCCCGACCUGUGGAAUCUUCAUGUUUGGCCCCUGAAGGGUACCAGCUGA